GCUCAGCCGUAAACAAUUAACCUACACCAAUAAGCGCCAGGGAAUUACGAGCCAUGCUUAAACCCAAAGGAUUUGACGGUGUCCCACCCCCCUAGAGGAGCCUGUUCUAUAACGUAGUACCCCGCUAUACCUCACCAUUCCUCACCCGUCUGUAUACCUCCGUCGAAAGCCUACCCUGUGAACGCCAGUAGGCCCAAUGGACCCCCCCCCAUACGUCAGGUCAAGGUGCAGCUCACGGAAUGGGAAGCGAUGGGCUACAAUUUCUAACAUAGAACAAACGAAAACUGUGUGAAAUCAUAUGAUGAAGGUGGAUUUAGUAGUAAAAAGAAAAUAGAGUGUUCUUUUUAACCCGGCUCUGGGACUUCGAUGCUUUCACCUCAUGUACAUAACCCCCUAUCUGCGCCUUAGAAGAGGCAAGUCGUAACAUGGUAAGUGUACUGGAAAGUGCACUUGGAAUAACAAAAUAUAGCUUAA
rnacentral:rRNA from 1 species